CAGCCGCCGCGGUAAUACGGAGGAUCCAAGCGUUAUCCGGAAUCAUUGGGUUUAAAGGGUCUGUAGGCGGUCUUGUAAGUCAGUGGUGAAAGCCCAUCGCUCAACGGUGGAACGGCCAUUGAUACUGCAGGACUUGAAUUAUUGGGAAGUAACUAGAAUAUGUAGUGUAGCGGUGAAAUGCUUAGAGAUUACAUGGAAUACCAAUUGCGAAGGCAGGUUACUACCAAUUGAUUGACGCUGAUGGACGAAAGCGUGGGUAGCGAACAGGAUUAGAUACCCCCGUAGUCCCUGUCUCUUAUAA
rnacentral:rRNA from 1 species